UACGAAGGGGGCUAGCGUUGCUCGGAAUCACUGGGCGUAAAGGGUGCGUAGGCGGGUCUUUAAGUCAGGGGUGAAAUCCUGGAGCUCAACUCCAGAACUGCCUUUGAUACUGGGAAGCUUGAGUCCGGGAGAGGUGAGUGGAACUCCGAGUGUAGAGGUGAAAUUCGUAGACAUUCGGAAGAACACCAGUGGCGAAGGCGGCUCACUGGCCCGGUACUGACGCUGAGGUGCGAAAGCGUGGGGAGCAAACAGG
rnacentral:rRNA from 1 species